rnacentral:rRNA from 1 species
AUUGAACGCUGGCGGCAGGCUUAACACAUGCAAGUCGAACGAGUGGCGGACGGGUGAGUUAUGCUUGUGAAUCUAGCUUAUGGAGGGGGAUCACUACGGGAAACUGUAGCUAAUACCGCGUUCCAUAGGCUGAGCCAGAGUGGGAUUAGGUAGUUGGUGAGGUAAAGGCUCGCCAAGCCGACGAUCUCUAGCUGGGCUGAGAGGAUGACCAGCCACACUGGGACUGAGACACGGCCCAGACUCCUACGGUAGGCAGCAGUGGGGAAUAUUGCGCAAUGGGGGCAACCUGACGCAGCCAUGCCGCGUGAAUGAAGAAGGCCGUCGGGUUGUAAAGUACUUUCGGUAGCGAGGCGUUAACUACAGAAGAAGCACCGGCUAACGCCGUGCCAGCAGCCGCGGUAAUAC